GUGCGGCGGGGUCUGGAUGGAAAGGCGGGGCCCGCUGAAAGAAGGCGAUCCGAGUUCUGCUACUUCCUAGUAAGGGACGUCUCUGGAGAGAUUCUGAGGUGUUUGAGUGUCCUUCCCGCACUCAGAGGGCCUCUCUGGAGCCAGUUCCAGGCCACCCAUGGGCCUUGGCCCCGCCCCCUACUCAUGGCUGGCAGAUUCGUGGCCCCACCCAUCUCGAAGCCCCUCGGCCCAGGAACCCAGGGGAAGCUGCUGCCCUAGCAAUCCUGACCCGGACGACAGAUAUUACAACGGUGAGGAGUUCUCAUUCCCUCACCUGGCUUCAGCGCACUUCUCCCGACCUACUGGGGCAAACCGAAGGGCGCCCGGGAGCCCGGUCUCUCUGAGGUUGGUCAGUCCCUGGGGAGGAUGUGAGCUGGGGAAGCCUCUCAGACCUACCUCCACCCUGGUUUAGGAUGUAAGGCUUGUGUGGGGGAAGAAGUUGAUCCCGUGGGAUUUCCCUUUGUCUUCCAUUCUGUUGUCCUCUAUGUUUCUGUCUCUGCUUC
rnacentral:lncRNA from 1 species